rnacentral:rRNA from 1 species
AUUGAACGCUGGCGGCAGGCCUAACACAUGCAAGUCGAACGAGUGGCGGACGGGUGAGUAAUGUCUGGGAAACUGCCUGAUGGAGGGGGCUAACUACUGGAAACGGUAGCUAAUACCGCAUACCAUCAGAUGUGCCCAGAUGGGAUUAGCUAGUUGGUGGGGUAACGGCUCACCAGGGCGACGAUCCCUAGCUGGUCUGAGAGGAUGACCAGCCACAUGGGACCUGAGACAGGCUCCAGACGCUGACGGGGGGCAGCAGUGGGAAAUAUUGCAAAAGGGGCGCAAGCCUGAUGCAGCCAUGCGGCGUGUAUGAAGAGGGCCUUGGGGUUGUAAAGUACUUUCAGCGGGGAGGCGUUACCCGCAGAAGAAGCACCGGCUAACUCCGUGCCAGCAGCCGGGUAAUAC